ACAAGAAACUUAAAGGUUUUUCCUUUAGAAUCAGCGGACGUUCAUAUACAUGAAUUUACACUCCCCUAUGAAUUCACACACGCACACUCUAUCCCUUAUGAGCGCCUCUGAGAAAUUGAACCAACAGGUUGCGAGAUUGACGAAGUCAUGACCUGUGCAUCGCUGUCGAUGGGUCGUCGCUUACAGCGAAAGAAUAAGUCGUUAAACCCAGAAAUAUAUCGGGAAAACUGCAAACACCCUUCUCAAGUCAAGGACUUGAACCCGGUUGGAUAGCUUCCACCACAAGGAACCUAACAAACUGUGCUACGCUCAAUUCACCGAAGAGAUAAUGGUUGCGGUUUAUUAACCCUAUAUGUAUGUCUUUUUCGGCUCUUUCUUCUUAUUCAACUUCCCAACAAUAACCUCCCACAUGACUCAUAACACAACACAAGGAAAAAAAGGACUUCAUUUGGCCGCAACGUGAACCAGCACGCUUCUGGCCUAUAGACAGACUGGCUAUGGAUUCUACAGCAGUGAUCGGAUCGAAUCAAAUUUACAAAUUAACUUACUGUAACGCAAACUGAGCUACUCGACAUAAACACACAUAACUUCAUGCUGGCCAGUGGACGUCGAUCACUGCGCGGCUGUUGUCACCUCUUUCGAGGCUAAUUCUUCUUAGACGGCGUCGUCUGUUUCAUCUGCUUCUUCUGAGGCAGGAGCGACUUCCUCCUAUGGGCUGUCUUCGUCAAUUGCGUAUUGCUUGACGAUGCCUUCACCUUCUUUGGGGGAACCUUUGCAGCUUGCUCGCCCAUGACAAGAUUUGCUUCUUUUCUAAUAAUUCUUCUUCUCCAGUGGUAGCUGAGGUGAGGUGGAUAUAGUGUUUACUUUGCUCUGGUUGGGUUGAGGAAGCCUGCAGCAAUGGCUCCAUAUAUAUAGGAGGGGGAAGGUCUUUGAGAAAGCGCUUCGGCCAGACAACACGCUUCCACCGUGUGUGAGAAUUAUUUGGUGGCAUUAAUGUUUCUUGUGCCAGUCUGUUCUCUUUUGGGGAGUAGAUAUGCAUUAUAUUCAAUGCAUAUUAGUUAAGGAUCGCUGCUCAAUGGUUUGGUCAAUGGUUGGGUAUGCGGUUGGGUCAAAGGUUGUGGUCGCUGCCGCGUUGGUCUUUGUUUCUUCUCCUCCUGCUCCUUAUAUUACUACUACAUCAGAAUAAGUGUUGGUGGUUCAGUUUUGGUAGCACACGCCAGACACACAGAUGGCUUGUUAGUUGUUAGCAAGUACACACGAUGUUGCCGUUGCAUGGGAUGUUUUGCUAGAGCUUGAGUUUACAUUAGCCAAACCAAUUGGUAUCAUGUACGACAAAUCUUGUAUAUAUGUUUUGGUAGAGCUUGAGUUUAGAUUAGCUAAACCAUAAUAACUUUGUAUAUUAGUUAGGGGUCGAGUUGACAAGAGAGUUAUUUACCCAGGUUCAGACCUUGUGAGGGAGAACAUUAAUCAAAUUAUAUUUCAUGAGCUGGCCAGUAGGCAAAGAUCAUGUCAAGGUUAAAAAAUGAAUAGGAAUCGGCCGGCGCACGCACAAGCUGCCUAGCUUCGUCGACCUUCUCUUCUUUAUUUAAUUUACUCCUCCUGCUACCACGGCAUCUCGUUAACCACUAAUAUUGGAGCAAGCUAAGUAUGUUAAUACCGCUACAUAAGAACACCACUCAACCGCUCGCUAGAGUCUUCCCGCUGCUCAAUUACUAGCGCACUACCUUGAGCUGUCCCGCUUGUUUCUCCUUGGUGGUAAUGCUAAAGAAUAUUGCAAGAAACUGGAAUGAACACGCAAAAGACAGAUGUAGUUCAGCAACGUGUUAAUUAAUCACGUGUACGUCUUUUCUGACUCAUUUCUUUUAUUUGGUCACCCAAUAACACCAGAAAAACACAAAUAGCCACAACAUGAACUGGCACACUUAAUGUUUUUGCAGGAAAAACUCUCGUAAUUCAAACAAAAAAUAAUUCAAAAAAAAUCAUAAAAUUUCCUUUAGUCCCGGUUGGUGUUACCAACCGGGACUAAAGGGCCAGGGCAUUAGUAUCGACCCUUUAGUCCCGGUUCAUGAACCGGGACUAAAGGCCCUCACCAACCGGGACAAUAGGCCCUUUUUCUACUAGUGUCACUUAGUUCCGAGAUACAUGGCCAUUUAUAAAAAAAAUCUAAGAAAUACAGUUUACCACUAUUUGAAUUGAUACUGAAAAUUGCAAUUUUUUUUGGAAUGUUGAAAUACUAUGAACAAAAAUCUAAUCAUGCGUGUUUUGUUUUGACAAAUCCUUGCAUACAUUUAAAUUGAUAUUAGAAUCAAAUAAGCUUUCUAUCUAAAAUUGUGAUAUAUUUGCUUCCAAGACAUCAUAUUCUCGUUUGAGAAUGUAAAUAUUAUUACCUUCUCCUCUAUUGUCUCCUCUUAUUCAGUUCAUAGAUCGCAUGUCUCCUUCAUGUAAUCACAUGUACUCACACCAUUAUAUUAUUUAAGUUUGACCGACAAUAUGACUAUAUCUAAUGGUUGUGUAUGUGAGUGAGGUUGCUCGUUCUCAUCCACCUAGGUAAUCUUUUGGAUUGGCAUGGCUGUUCUGUCAUAUUGUUGAAGUAGAUGCAUAUGUGUAUAUUAUUGUGUAAAUGCUCACCGGCACCAAGAGAGAAUGUGAAACUUCCAAUAUUUUUCAUGGGCAACAUAUAAAAGAUAAGCUAAGUUGGCCCUAUAGCGCAGAUAAAUGUCACUAUAUCCCGUUAGAAGCACUAAAUUGUACAUAUGUGUUGUUUAGCAGGAUUCUAGAGGUUAUAGCCGCGGAAAACAUUCAACACACAUCUCUAUCCAAUUGUGAUAAUCAUACAUGCUAGCACAUUAUUAGACAUAUCUGUAGUAUGCUAAGUGUAACAAUAUGGCCUCUUCUACUUUGUUGAAGCAUCGUAUCAUGUUACAAAUAUAACGAAAAAUCUUCAAGAUCCGCUUGUAAAUCCCCAAGUACAUAAAUUCCCAUUCAAUUUAGAAGUCCGACAAGAUGCCAAGGUCGGCUCAUUGGGGGCAUUCCUCAAGUAUGUUACAUGACUUGACUAUAUAAUUUUAUUUCCCAUGCAGAGGUAGAAGAAAACCGUCCUCAAUAUUGUCUCCUCUUAUUCAGUUCAUAGAUCGUAUGUCUCCUUCACGUAAUCAAAUGUACUUACACCAUUAUAUUAUUUAAGUUUGAUCAACAAUAUGACUAUAUCUAAUGGUUGUGUAUGUGAGUGAGGUUGUUCGUUCUCAUCCACCUAGGUAAUCCUUUGGAUUGGCAUGGGUGUUGUGUCAUAAUGUUCGAGGUAGAUGCAUAUGUGUAUAUUAAUUGUGUGAAUGCUCACCGGCACCAAAAGAGAAUGUGAAACUUCCAAAAAAAUUCAUGGGCAACAUAUAAAACAUAAGCUAAGUUGGCCCUAUAGCGCAGAUAAAUGUCACUAUAUCCCGUUAGAAGCACUAAAUUGUACAGAUGUGUUGUUUAGCAGGAUUCUAGAGGUUAUUACCACGGAAAACAUUCAACACACAUCUCUAUCCAAUUGUGAUAAUCAUACAUGUUAGCACAUUAUUAGACAUAUCUGUAGUAUGCUAAGUGUAACAAUAUGGCCUCUUCUACUUUGUUGAAGCAUCGUAUCAUGUUAUAAAUAUAACGAAAAAUCUUCAAGAUCCGCUUGUAAAUCCCCAAGUACAUAAAUUCCCAUUCAAUUUAGAAGUCCGACAAGAUGCCAAGGUUGGCUCAUUGGGGGCAUUCCUCAAGUAUGUUACAUGACUUGACUAUAUAAUUUUAUUUCCCAUGCAGAGGUAGAAGAAAACCGUCCUCAAUACUGGAUCCAUCCAGAGGUGGCGGCAGUUUACAACCUCACAUCGACUGGAGACUAGCAUCGCCCUUGGAAAUGCCCUUGUAUUGCUGCUAACGUAUUUCUCAUUUCCCAGUAAACUGGAUGCAUUCAUGGAACAUGUAUGCCAAUCUCUCCUUUUAUUCAAUCACCCAACAACAACAUGAUGCACGACUCAACAACACAUGUAAGAAGAAACUAUACUUGGCCACCACGUGAACAAGCACACUUAUGAUUUACAUACUGAGGUUACUAAUUUAGACAACACAACAUAAACUGAUGUACAAGACAGAGACACAAUUGACUUCAUCAUAGCCAGACAACAUGGAUGAGAACGCGGCUGCUCUCACCACUUUUGAGGCCACUUCUUAUUUCUUAGGCUGCGGCUGCUUCUUCUUAGCCAUCAUCUCUUUUUCUGAGUCAGCCUCACGUUUAUCCUACGGUUACGCCCCUUCUUAGGAUUCCUUCGUUGUGCCCCCGGCUUAUUGGUUGACGGUUGCGUUGGCCUGUUAGGGGGAACCGUUGUACCUGGAACCUUUGGACCUGACUUGUCCAUGACGCCUCCUCCCCUCCUCCUCCUCCUCCUCCUCCUCCUCCUUCUUCUUCUUCUUCUUCUUCUUCGCUUGUGCAAGGUAGCUGAGGUGAGGUGGAUGUGGUGUUUGUUUUGCACCGGUUGGUUUGUGGAAUCCUGCAGCAACGGCGCGCGCAUAUAUAUAGGAGGAUUAAGGACUUGGGAAAGCGCUCUGGCCGGACAAGGUGGUUUCAUCGAAGGAAAAUGAUUUGGUGGCAUCCCCAGUGCUGCUGUUAGUCAGUCUCUUUUGUGUCGUUUUGGGGAGUAGAUAUGUAUAUUUGAUUCAUUUGUUAUGGGUGGAUAGGUAUGCAGUUGAGUCAGUGGUCUUCGUUGCUGACAGUUGAUCUUCAUUUCUUCUUCUCAUCCUCCUUGUACUAUAGCUACAUCAGAAUAAGUGUUGGUGGUCAAGUUUUACUAGCAUAUACCACACGGCUUGUUACUUGUUAGGCCAUCUUCAACGGCUAUCCGUGGACAAAGAGGAUCAGUCCGCGGACACAAAUUUGGGAGCCGGCUAUCCAACGCUGCACCAUACAUUUGAAACACUUUGUCAACAAAGCAGAUGUACCUCACUCAGACACAUCAGAUUACAUAUAAACCUGGUGAAAAACAUUUAUAUUUUUGACAUAUUCUAACUAAAAAACUAAAACUAUGUGCAUGUACCACCACACGGAGGUCCACUACCUUGACACGGAUACAUUACACUAGUCUACGAUCGGCCGCGGAGUGUCCCUUUGUCUUCCCCUUGUCAGGCAGUCUGGUGACUCAUCGGAUUGCUGGGAGCCCCGGAGGUAUAUUCCUCCCCUGUAUCUUCCCUAUGUCUGGCUGCGCCGCUUAUCGGAGUGGCAAAAAGGGUGCUUCAGUCGAAAGGGAAGGGGGAAUCCGCUUCCGUGAAGCGCGGAUCAGGGUUGGUGUUUGGGGCAGGGGAAGAUGGUGGCCUGCGAGACAGGGCGAGACAUUUGGUGUGCAUGCGGCGAUGCUGCGGCGGUGGCCUUCUAAGGACCCAAGUGGCGGCGGGCUCCCAUGUUCUACUUUUCCUCGAUUUUGUCGGCAAACGCGGACAUGCUAGCCGCCGCCUCGUCGAUCUCCACUAUAUAUGAGAUGCCUAGUAUAUAAGUGUCCUACUAGGACACGACUUCAUAUUCUAUCUAAACACAAUACUACUCAGAGUCCAACUAUAACCUACCUUAUACACAAUAUUCCAUACAACUCUAACAACUCCGGCUGGGUCAAGGAAACCUCAUGCACGGCCGGCUGGAAGACGCGCUUCCACCAUGGAGAAUGGUUUGGUGGCGUUCAGAGUCAGUCUCGUUUGUUUUGUUCUGUUUUCAGGAGUAUGUAUGCACAUUCGAUGCAUUUGUCAUUGACGGAUGGAUGCGGUCGGGUCAAAGGUCGUGGUCGUCUCCGCGUCAGUCUUCACUUCUCCUCCAUCUCCUCUUCCUUAUACACCUACAUUAGAACUUGCGUUAGGUUAAGUUUAGGAAGCAUACGGAAUUUCUUUUAGUUAUAAUCAAAUAGAUUAAGAUAUCUUGCAAUCACACCAUGUCAUAGGCACAUGUGAUUUUCAUGCAAAUUAUUUCUUUGACCUGCUAUCACCAGCAACUGCCAGCCUGAACCAUUUUAUAUCAAUCCAAACCAAAACGAGCUACCUGUACAAGAUGGAGAUAAUUGCAACAAAUUCAGACCGUGUACGUCUAGUGCAUCUGUUGAUAGCAUUUAACCUGCCAUGAUUCUUUGAGGAUGCAUGUUGGCCUAUGCAUCCUUUGAUUGGAUGGACUUCUCUAAAUAUUCACUACACAAGUCAGUCAUUCUCAGAAGUGGACGGUCCAGCGAAUUUGGAAGGGUUAAGAACAUGGUUAAUAGUAUAGCCAGCUGCCAUGUCAUCUACAGCUCAUUUUAUAGUCAAUAUGUACAAUAUUAGAUCAAAAGAGUGUACUACUUUUUUAUUAUGUGGUCCACCUUUCAUUCUCACAAAGUGCCUAGGAGCACGUGCUAGAGCUCGCUCUUCAUGAAGAGCCCGCUUAUCUUCUUUCUCCUCUUCUCUUUACUCCAACUAAGCAGAAAUAUACUAGUUUAUUCCUUAUAGCCCGCUGACUCAGCUCUAUUGUACUUGCUCUAAGGAAAGAAAAUUAUCUAUUGGCUAUGGCUGAGACUAAUUCUGACUGAUGUUGUUGAUGUGUCUGCUAAUUUGGCAAAAUUCCUCGCUUGUCCAAUUGCAGCAUCUCGCUCUAGUAGUAGUCCAAGUCUCUCAGCCUCAAAUACGAUGCAUAUGACUAUUUUAAUGGAAAAACCUGUUGGCGUGUUGCGUCAAAUGGCACAGACCGGCCAAGCUGGGCCGGCCCAUUAAGAUGUACAGUUGUUCUCCGUCUUGGGGAACCUUUCGGAAGGUUCCAGUCUGGUUUUCACCGUUUUUUGUUUUUCUUUCCUGGUUUUCAUUUUCUUUUUUUCUUAAAUAUUGGUCUUUUUGGUAAAAAAAUAUCUGUUAUAAAAUAUCAAAUUGUUCAUGUUUUACAAGUUUAUUGGAAUUUCUAAAAAUGUUUUCACUUCCAAAAAUUCUUCACAAACUAAAAGAUGGUCAUGUUAUUAUAAAAAAUGUUUGUAAUUUUUUAAAAUGUUCCUGUAUUUAAAAAGUGUUCACAAAUUCAAAAAAUAGUCAGGAACUUCAAAAAAUAUGUUUAUUGUUCAUUUUUUAAAGGCACAUCUUCCAAAAAAAUAGAUUCUUCAUAAUAAGGUUUAUGUUUUUAAAAAAAUAAAUCCACCAAAAAUAUGUUUACUAUGGGCAUUUGGGGCAUGUUUUGGGGUGUUGUAACGGGGCUUCCACCCUGCUAGUGCAUGUUCUAUGCUGGUUUCAGUCUAACCCGCCAAGAGUGUUUCCUAUUGUACUGCUUGCUUUCUUUCUAAUAAAGAUCGGCCAAGGGCCCUUCGAGAAAAGAUCUUCCCCUUUAAUGGCGGAUUUGGUUUUUUAAUGGGAGGAAGAACAACAUACCAGGCUACCAACUCUCCCAUUAAGAGUAGAGAUUCCCGAGAAGCCGCUGGCGCUAGAUAUAUGACCGCAGCCAGGCGAGAAAGACGCGGGAUUCUAGAUGGGGAUAAGGAACAAUAUUGGUGGAGAUGAAGAAGGGUUGGACGAAACCAAAAUUAACAUAUCCUUGUCAAAACAAGAAACCAAAAUUAACAUAUGAUGAUGAAGGAAAGUACAGGGGAUGUGUGGGUAAGGGAAGGAAAGCAAAUAAUUGAUCGAAUCGGCACCAGGUUUUGUUGGGACACACGUGAUUUCUUGUUAUGAUGUUCGCACUUGGGAGAAGCAGAACAUAGCGAGCUAGAAUGGUCAUGCCAGCUGCUGCUUAGACAGGCAUCUCCGGCGUGCUGGGAAUCAAUGUCCCGACAUGCUCGAAACAGGAGGGCGCUGCACCGUGUUGGAACUGGACAACCACCAUGUUGUAACUGUGGUUGAACACCAGUGGUGGGGACAGAUGCGAGGGACCUGUCCUGUGAGGGCGGCAACACCACGGCGAGCGGUAGCUAGCCGGUAGUGCUUCGAGAAUCGGUCGGCGCACGUCCAUCACAAGUAUAGUGGCGCUAGCUAUCGACUCUUUUCGAUCAAAUGGGAAGGAGCGAGCACUGUGUGAGGAAGGAGACGAAGAGAAGAAGAAUCGAAACGUGCCAGUGGGGCCAAUCCGGCUGGCACCAAGCGACCAACCAAAUUUUGGGCAAGUCGACCGGCGCCUAGCGCCGCCCUUGGAAAUGUCAUUGUAUCGAUGCUAACGUAUUUUUCAAUGUACUGGAUGCACUCAUGGAACAUGUAUGUCAAUCCUUCCUUUUAUUCAAUCACCCAACAACAACCUAAUGCACGACUCAACAGCACAUGUAAGAAGAAAGUAUACUUGGCCGCAACGUGAACAAGCACACUUAUGGUUUACAUAUUGAGGUUACAAAUUAACCUGCCACAACAUAAACUAACGUACAAGACAGAAACACAAUUAACUUCAUCAUUGCCAGACAACAUGGAUCAGAAUGAAAAAAAAUAAAAUAUAGUAAAAAGAACAUGGAUCAGAACGCGGCUGCUCUCACCACUUUUGAGGCUAUUUCUUAGUAUUUCUUAGGCUGCGGCUGCUUCUUCUUAGCUAUCCUCUGUUUUUGCGAGUCAGCUUCAGAUCUUUCCUACGAUUACGCGACUUUUUAGGUUUCUUUGGUUGUGCUUUGGCUUAUUGGGUGGCGGCGGCGUUCGCUUGUUAUGGGGAACCGUUGUACCUGGAACCUUUGUACCUGUCUUCUCCAUGACGCCUCCUCCUCCUACUCCUCCUCUCCCUCCUCCUCCUCCUCUCCUUCUUCUUCUUCUUCUUCUUCUUGUGCGAGGUAGAUGAGGUGAGGUGGAUGUGGUGUUUGUUUUGCACCGGUUGGUUUGUGGUGUUCUGCAGCAACGGCGCGUGCAUAUAUAUAGGAGGGAUAAGGAAUUGGGAAAGCGCUCUGGCCGGACAACGUGGUUUCAUCAAAGGAAAAUGGUUUGGUGGCGUCCCCAGUGCUGCUGUUAGUCAGUCUCUUUUGUGUCGUUUUGGGGAGUAGAUAUGUAUAUUCGAUUCAUUUGUUCUUGGCGGAUAGGUAUGCAGUUGAGACAGUGGUCUUCGUUUCCUCUUCUCAUCCUCCUUAUACUAUAGCUACAUCAGAAUAAGUGUUGGUGGUCAUAUUUUGCUAGCAUAUUCCACACGGCUUGUUACUUGUUAGACCAUCUUCAACGGCGACCGCAGAUUACCUCCAACAUCCAUCCAUGGACAAAGAGGAUCAGUCGUCCGUGGACAGAGAUAUGGGAGCCGGCUAUCCAACACUUCCCGCAUACAUUUCAAACACUUUUUCAACAACCCGGAUGUACCUCAUGCAAACACAUCAGAUUUCAUACAAACCUAGCGAAAACAUUUAUAUUUUUGACAUAUUUUAACUGAAAAACGCAUGUACGACCACACAGAGGUCCACUACCAUGACACAGAUACAUUACACUAGUCUACGGCCGGCCGCGGAGAAUCCCUUUGUCUUCCCCUUGUCAGGCAGUCCGGUGACUCAUCGGACUGCCGGGUGCCAAGGAGGUAUAUUCCUCCCCCGUAUCUUCCCUAUGUCUGGCUGCGCCGCUUAUCGGAGUGGCAAAGAGGGUGCUUCAGUCGGAGGGGAAAUGGGAAAUCCUCUACCGUGAAGCGUGGAUCAGGGUUGGUUUUUGGGGCAGGGGAAGAUGGUGGCCCGUGAGACAGGGCGAGACAUUUGUUGUGCAUGCAGCGACGUAGCGGCGGUGGCCUUCCAAGGACCCAAGUCGGCGGGCUCUCAUGUUCUACUUUUCCUCGAUGUUAUUGGCGGACGCGGCCGUGCUGGCCGCCGCCUUGCCGAUCUCCAAGCUGGCUUCUUUUUCCAUCGACAAGGCGCGGUCCUGCGAACGAUGAUGUCAGAUGGCUCGUAUCUGGAGGGUUCGGCAGGCCACCCAGCCAGAUUUUAUACCGGGCUCUUCCUACACGCCGAAUGUCAUGAAAAGAGUGAAGAAAAUAGUGGAAGGAGGAGAUGGGGAGCGGAGGAGAGGUGCGAUUGUUGCCCGGCGUCUGGCCUCCUUUAAAUAGCGAGCAGGUGCGAGGAAAUUUCCCGUUGUUGUGUUUAAUGCUGACCGGAUCAUGAACAUAUGUUUGGCUGGAGUAGCUUUCUCGGCACACACGCGGAUUUAAUGGAGGCGUGUUCAGUCGGGCGUGCAGCGGGCGACGCCAUCGGCCAGCGUGCCACUUUAAUGCCAAAGCCAGUGAGACGUCGCGCUCGCUCUGGGAUAGCUUCAAUGUGGGAGCAAACGCUCAACGACAACAUGAAUGAGGACAGCUGACGCCGGGCAGGAACGCGUGCCGGUGAGGGUGUGGAUUGGCAUCGGUGGGCUAGGGUUUCCAAAAGUGGGCGUGGGAGCAGUCCAGACGCCUGCAAAGCCCCCAUGCUUGUCUUCGGUUUGUGAGAGAAAGUGCGUCUCAAGACUGAACGGACCGAUACAGUUGCAUGGCAAAACACGUCCCCUCCGCCUGGUCCAGACGUAUGUGGAUUUAAGGGUCGUCGUUGGAGAUGCCCUUACUCAUGAGCGAUUUUGACAUGGUUCUUCUUACCUCCUCUUUGACAUGGUAGGUAAGAAGGUAAGAGUUACUGACCAACUACUUAAUUAAGGGCUCAUAUCUAUUACAUACGUUUUCCCUUCAUACGAAAAGAGGAGGUUAGAGAAAUCAUGUGCACCUACGCCAUGCAUGAUUUAUGGCGUAAGUAUACACGUAGCUGCCGUUGUAUAAGAUGUUCAGGUAGAGCUUGAGUUUGGAUUAACUAAACCCAUUGUAAUAGAUCUUAGCUCAUUAAUUAAUGACUUGAUUAACUCUCACACUACUAGAAAAAGGGCUGUUAGUGGCGCACCUGUUUUUGCUAUUUGUAGUGCGCCACUAUUAACACGCCACUAGUAACAAAUAGUAAUGGCGCACCUCUUGUGCGCCACUAGUAUCCCAGAUAAUAGUGGCGCAUCAUACAGUGCGCCAUUACUAUGUCCACCAGUGCGCCAUUACUAUGCCUCCCAGGGGGCCAUAUUUACCUUGUGCUCUGAGUUACUAAUGGCGCACUUUCAGAUAAUGCGCCACUGAUGUGUUUAUUUCAGUGCGCCACUAAAGUGCAAUAUGGUGCGCCACUACAAUGAAUAUUAGGAAUUAUCUUUUUUUUUUCUUAUCUGAUAUUUGCACAGGUUACAAAAUACAUUACUGCACAGAAUAUAAACAGCACAACAUAUAAACAACAGAUUUAUUGAGUACAAUAGAAGAUUAGUCUCCGAAUACAAUUCAUCAUAUUAGCCUCCGAAUUCAAAAUACCGAACAAAGUUAUAACAUUACAAGCCUCGAGACCGCGAGUAGCGAGUUUGUCUUCACAUUACAAGUCGAUAUCGAUCAUCUAAACUACCCAUCACAUAGAAGAGAGCUGCGGUCAUCGCGAUGAAACUGGUCUUCACCCGGUUCCUCCAACGCUCCCUCCUCUCUCCGGCUAGUUAGCGCGCGUAUCUAGCUUCCGCCUCCGCCCUUGUGGUGUACCCUUUGUAACUGUUACCGCUGAAACGGUGAACCUGUCUCUGACACUCCUUCCAGUCAUCGUAGACUCCGGGAACCUUACCCUUGUACACAACAUACGACGGCAUAUCUAUGCACUAGACAAACAAAACGUUAGUAGCAAUUCACAGACAAUACAUAAGCAAUAUAUAAGUAUGCAACAAAAGGAUCGGAAGAGAAAAGCAACACAUUAAUAGCACGAUUCAUGGUCCUACUAAUAAAUAGCAUCGAUUACAUAUAAGUUGAACGACUGUCCAAACUAAAGAGACAUACAAGUUCAUUAAAGUUUAAUUACAACAUGAGCUAAUCGAUAUUUCAGAACUACAUAGCAUCACUGCUUUCGACUCGACUCAGGGACCGGAGCGUGGAUGAAGCCGCCGUCUAUCGUGAUGGUAAUGAAAUCACGGUCGUUGUCAGCCUGCAUUUGUAGCGUUGUUUUUAUCUCACUGUUGGACAGUUGAUAUCUAAGGUGGAACUGCCCCGAGGUACGAAGGACAUCUUGAUGGAUGAUUUCCGCAAACAACGAGUGGAUGCGAAAGAAUUCUUGUCUGAUGUCCGCGUCCUGAAUUACCGACAAGCGUGCGGCCCAAUCUUUGAGAUUAGUUGGUAGCAGAAGGUGAUUAUGGUCCCGUACAAUCGCCCGCAUGUGAUGGAGGGCGUAGUAGGCAUCCUUCUGACCGCCAGGCAGCUGCUUGACGCAGGGAAACAUCGUAUUGUGGGUGAACACGUGCUUGCCUUACCUACAAAUUGGCCUCCUGAAGGUGCCUCCAGAUCUGGCGUAGCCGGGGAGAGCUUCAUCAAGAACUUUCUUAAUAUUUGUGUAGUCUUUCUUUGACUGACGGUCCGAGUCAAAAUACGUGGCCAUGGAAUAUUUCGGGCUUAAGAGGAUGAGUGUGCAAUGUGUGUCACUGCACAAAACACGGAAUGUUAGAAAAAAAAAGAACGAUCGAAAUCUAAGAAAUCAUAUGUUACGGGUAUCUGGGUUCGCCAGAAUGACGCCUUCGAGGUAUGAACUCGCGACUUGCCGGUCCCCAGCGCUGCCCAAGAUCUUGGUACGCAUGUAGAAGGAGUCGACUAUCAUGAUGCCCGGGGUCUUGUCUCUAAUGAUCCGCAUCUCCAUACUGAGCCAAAAUAGCCGAAUGAAGGUGUAGUGCAGCGGAUGAAGGUUAAACAUAGCGAAGAUGUCAUCAAACCGCAGGACGAUCAUACCCCCGAUGGUGCUAUCGACAAAGCCCUUGCCCUCUGGCACCUUGGCCACGAAAACCGGGUAUGCCACAUCAUUCUCGGAGAGACGCCGCUUCUCCAAAGAAAGAACACUGUCAUGCAGACUCCGCAUAGCACCGAUUGCAGCAUUGAGAAGAUUAGUCGGUAGCAUCGGCCUACCCGCCACAUGCACCCUCCUCGAGAUAUCCUUAGGUGAAGGUGGCCCGUCCUGAGCACGGAUCGUACUCGGUGCCGGCUGGCUCGCACCCUUGUUAUUCUUUCUUUUCCAUCCUUCUUCUUCUGCUGUAAUGGGAUCGAGUUCUGCUCAGAGACCGCCUUCUUGAGUGUGUUGGGGUUGAUAAUAUUUCGCACCUCGGCUAUCUGAGGCUCGGUGAAGGCGGCAGCUGGAGGCGUCUCCUAAGAACUGAACACCAGACGAUGCCUGUUGCAAUUGGGUUUCUCCGCGGUACCAGCUUGAUCGCGGUGGUCUUUUGCAGGGUUGGGUUCUUGAGAAGGAGGCCCCAAGAAUUCGUCACCGUACCCAUGUUCGUUGAAGUACUUAUCGACGUUGGUAAAUGUACCGUCGUCGUCUGGAUCCUGUGCCAUAUGCAUGUCCGGAUCCUGUGCCAUAUGCAUGUUCAGCAUGUCCGGCAGCGUUGCGGGGGUCUUGCCAUGGCUUGGCGCCAGCACGACUGGCGGUGUUGUCUGUGGGGUGGUGUCCCCCGCCCCCAAACGAAUCUGGCAAUUCGGCCAAAGCAGGGGCCAGCUUAAGCAGGCGCUGAGGGUCAUCACAUCAUCUUCGUCGGCCCCAGGGGAUCGAAAUGGAGGUAACAAGUCGUCGCAGCCCGGCAGCACCCAAACCAAUUGAACCCUAUACACGGUGGGUGGCAUCAGAUUACCAUGGAACACGGGGUUGCCCGAUUGAACGAUUCUGGCCUUGGCGACAUCGAUCAACUCGCCACCCACGAAGUGCAGGAGAGUGCAUGGAACAUCGGCGGCGCCCUGCGAAAACAUGUAGGGCGUCAGGGAUGCCCAGUCAAAGGCAAGGAGAUGAAGUCAUCGGCCAAGAGGCUUAGUUACCAUGAUGGCGUCUUGCUCGGCUAAUGUCGAGGCACCGCCAACGGCGGGCGUGCAAGUGACAGAGGGCCGCUUGCUGCCGAGGUGCCGGCCGGCGUAUUCUUCCCACAGCCGAGUGCAUUAAGCUCCAAUGCCCGUGCCGGCGCCAGAGACACCAAUACUGCCUCCGCCGGAGACACCAAUGGCGCCGCCGGCGCGUUGUGCGAGUUGCUGCCCGUGAAGCUAGGAAUCGGGGGCGGCCCCUGUUGGCCGCCCGCAAUCCACGCCUGCAGCCCCUCAAUCAAGGUAGGCACAAUGGCGGUGAUCGUCGCUCCCAGUUGGUCUCGCACUUGCUCUUGGACUAUCUCCGGAAUCUGCGCCACUUGUGCCUUGAGUUCUUGAACCUCGCACUCCUGGCUUUCCGAGUUGGUCUUUCUCUCCUUUCGCCCAGCGUUAUAGUAUUCUGACCAUUUCGUGGACAAGCCUUUGCCGGCCACACGACCAGCUGAUGACAGCUUACUGAACUAAUCCUUGUGUUUCAUUAAGUUCAACGCCCUAUUUAAAGUGGUGUCCCAAGGGGAGCUCUGAGACGACCCCGCGCUACAGCUUUUAGUGUCUUGCGGAAGGAACGUCAACCAUUUAGAAAUUUGGCUUCAUUAAUUAGAAUGCAACCAUAUGGAGCUAAUUACGCGGGGGUGUAUUCCUUUCCAGAACAAGCUCAAGCACCUUGGUCUUCGGAUCCGUGGUAAGCUCCUUUAUUACCGGGUCCACCUUGUACCGGGCCCUGACAUAGUUCCUAGUCUACUUGUCACGGUAUUUAUCGAAGAGGGGCGGUAGGCCUUGCUCGGCACGCUCUGCGUCCUCCUUGUCCCAUAUAGGUUCCGCCACUUUGUAAUCGCCGGGACCGAUAUUUUGGACCCCUAAGUUCAAGUCCCGCAUAUCUUUCCCCCACUGACUUGAUUCCACGGCUGCGUUGCUCUCGCACUUGAUCUUGAACUCCCGGUAGUCAGCUUCGCUGAUCGAAGGAUUUGUAUCCUUGAUCUUCUCAUAACUAUCACCUCUUAGAAUCCUUCUCCUCACCGCGGCUCUCCAAGUAGCCAGGGCCAUGCUCAUCUUCGUGAGGGCGGAACUGUUCACUUUAUUCCCCGAGAGGCGUGUGUUUGCGAAGUCACCGGGGAACUUGUAUCGUUCGUGCAGCUUCGUGAAGAGGAGGUUGCGCAAAUUCCCUUGGUCACGAUGCCUUAGGUUCUCGGUGUUGAUCGAUACGGUGCUCCGGAGAAUGCACCCGAGUUGUCCCGAGUACCCACUUACUAAUUCUUUAGGCACCGUUGGAUGCCCACUGGAGGACACUUCAGUAAAUUCCUGCUUGAUGGUGCCGAGCACGUUUGGGCGCCGGUCCUUCUGUUGCCUCUUCGGUUGGCAGCCAUCUGUGCGUGCACUGCCAUCAUCAGUGGUGGCAUCCUCGGCGGCACCAUCAGUGGUGUCAUCCCCGACGCCACUAGGGGUUGUGUAGUCAGGAUCGGUGUCUUCCGCGGCGUCCUCAUAGCGGUGAGGUUCUUCCUGCAUCUCCUGGGACAGCUCCCAGAAUGCCUUACCCGAACCACCGGCCUCAUCGUUGUGGGCCAUGUUCGCUCUAAAUAGGAAAAAAGUUUGGUCAAAAAGUUGGUUAUUGUAAAGGAACAAGAUCUCUAAGUUGACCAAAUAACCUAAUUCUCGAGGAAUGUCACCAAAAAGUUGGUUAUUGUCAAGGAACAAUUGAGAGAUGUUUGUGAUAUUGUCUAGGUGUUUUGGGAUGGAACCUGUUAGUGUGUUGUUGCUAAGGUCCAAGUCCACGUACUCAAGGUCUAAGAUAAUUUAAUCAGGGCAAUUGCAGUGGAUUUGUGCACAAGCUAAGCUAGCUAAGACAGUAGCUUCCUUGCAACCCACAAAAGACAAAGGAAAAGGGGUGAAAAGGGGGAGAUGGUUAGCUUUGAUGAGCAGGCAUCAUCUUCCUAACCCCCUUCUUCUUGUCUCCUCUCACUAUCUCUCUCACACACAUGGCAAGCAAGGGUGUCUGAGUGUGUGAAAUAAUACUAAACUAAUCCAACCACUAAAGCACUAGAUCACUACUAUUGUAUAAUCUUUUUAUAGCUUUGUAUAUAUGUAUGGCUCCAAUGGGUGCCACUGCCAUGCAUCCCUCUCCUAUCAUUUAAUCAUGAUUAGCCCAUCAUUUUGUCUAGAGAUUAGUUUUGGUUAAUUAAUUAACUAGUGUGUGCCACAGCAGAGCACAGAUCUCCAUCUAGCUAGUAGGAGUAGCUUUCCAAGGCCUCUUUCCAAGGCUUGUUUCGGUUGAGAAUCGGGCACCUUCUAGGUCAAGAAAAUUGGGCAUGACAUUUGCUAAUUUUCUUGACCUAGGAGUGCCCCAUUCUCAACCGAAACGGAAAUUAAUCAACAUUUCAGGAGAAAGGGGCCAUUUCAAAAGAUCACAAGUAGCAGAAGCAUCACUUGACAAAAUCACAAGUAGCAGCAGCAUCACAAGUAGUACAGCAGCAACAUCAUCACAAGUAGUACAGCAGCAGCAGUGAAUACAAUGCGUACAGCAGCAGCAUCAUCAUCACAAGUAUUGUGAUGCCCCUUCAAACAAGAGUUUCUUGCUCUCUCUUUUUUUUUUGACAUGAACAAACAAGGGUUGCCAAUUGAAACUAACUUGUGAUGAUGUUGUUCCUUUAAAGUGCAGUUCAGUAUAUGUAACAAAAAUCAGGUGACAAAACUUGCACACCCCUCUCCGCUUAACGAGGCAAGGAAACAGUGCCAGGAUAGCAACCAAACACUGUCCAGGCACAGUUUAGGGAGGCUCCAAGCCAGACACGAUUCAGUGUGGACACUAUCCAAACACACCCUACAUGACUGUGGAUACUUGUAAAAACUUGGUUUAGCUCCUUUCACACAUAUAUAAGCAGUUGGGAAAAAGACACAAUUUCCUGUAAGAACUUGAAAAAGAAACUAUGCCAUAUGUACUUCAAGACUUCAAGUAUAUAGCCAUAAAAAAUAGUUCAUGCAUGUAUGAGCCGUGGAUCGUGCUGUUUCCGAAAAGAGUAAACCCACGGGGGGCAACUUACCUGUGAUUUCAGGCUAAUUGUAUUAAAAUUUGAAGCAACUACUAUCAGACAUGUAAAAAAAGGUGCUAUAUCUCUCUUGUGCUAUCUCUCUCUUGCAAAAAAGUGCAGUUCCUUUAAAGUUUCAAAUAUGCACUUGCAUUGCAUUUAAACAUGCCCAUUGGGUGUGGGUGAACCAUUCAGAACAAUCAGCCAUGGCAAUGUCACAUUUCAGCACCAAAGUGGCUUGCACUUCUUUUUAGUUGAACUUUUUUUAAUAGACAAACAACUAAAUGCUCAGAACUACUACUACUACCACUAGAUCAUUUUCCUCUAGAACAGAACCAAACAUUUUUUUAUAUAAAAAUACGUAGUUCACAGAUUUUGGCACAAGAAGUCCAGUUCAUGUCGUACCAACAAUGCUUAAAAUAGUUGGCCAAACAAAAAAAUUAACAGUAAGGUGCAUUGACUUUUUCUUUAAAAGGUUAAGGUUAUACUUGAAGAACUAAGCUCCAGGUCCACUACAAACAAGUUUCAGUUCCAAGUUUGGCACUUGCUGUCCGACACAAGCCACAGCCCCCUUGAACAUUCAGCAAGUGCACGAAACAAACGCAUGUUACAAGACCAAAAACAUAUUGGCGCAUCAAUUGGAAGCCAUCCAUCAUAUACCAUCAGAAAAAGGCUAGAGAGAAUUGGGGAAACAAAGGUGAACCUCUCUCUUCUUGCACUCCUUGUAGUUGUCGAACUGUUGCUAGCACUUGCUCUUGUCCUGGUUGGUCUCCAGACCUGGAGACACGGCACAUCAUUAGAGAUUUCAUCAAAUACACACGAAAUUGUCCAGAAAUUAUGGCCAGAAAAUGAACUGGGGGUGAUUGGAUUAGAAAUUUAGGAUUAGGGGCGGAGGAUGCGCGUACACUUGAGGGAGGCGGUGUAUUGGGGGAAGCAGGAGGAGUCGGCGAUCUGGGCCGCGCUGGGUUAGGUCCGGAGUUGAGGUGGAGCGGAGACCGGAGCUGAGGUGGCCGGUGUUGAGGAAGAGGGGGGCGACGGGGAGCGGGCCGGCUGGUGGUGGAAGCCCCAGCCUAGGCACGGGAUCAGCUCCGAGGGAGGAGAGCGCGAGGUCGGCGGGGACGGGGGAUCUCCAGCUCGAACGGAUCCUCCAAGACAGCGUAGCGGAGCUUGGCGCAGCUCCUAGGCACAACGACGGAGCACGGGGCAGUCGGUGGCCGCGGUGACGCGUGGCGGCCGCGCUUGGGGAGGCGGGAGCCGCGAAGGGUUCGGUCGGCUGGGCGCGCCGCGGCGGAGGGCCGGUAGCGGCGGCUUGAACCCUAGGUCUCGCGCUCGGGAAGGGAUCCGGUGGUGGGCUCGGGGAGGAGGCGGCGNNNNNNNNNNNNNNNNNNNNNNNNNNNNNNNNNNNNNNNNNNNNNNNNNNNNNNNNNNNNNNNNNNNNNNNNNNNNNNNNNNNNNNNNNNNNNNNNNNNNNNNNNNNNNNNNNNNNNNNNNNNNNNNNNNNNNNNNNNNNNNNNNNNNNNNNNNNNNNNNNNNNNNNNNNNNNNNNNNNNNNNNNNNNNNNNNNNNNNNNNNNNNNNNNNNNNNNNNNNNNNNNNNNNNNNNNNNNNAAGGGGAUCGGCGGCGGUGGCGUGAGGGGAGAAGGACGAACGGGUAGGCGAGGGGCGAGAUGGGAGAGGCGAGGGACGAGGGGUGGAUAUUUUAGUGGGGGAAGGUUAGCAAUGGCGCACCUCCUAGGGGUGCGCCAUAAAUACCGUGAUAGCAAUGGCGCAUCCUCCCCUGGUGCGCUAUUACUAACUUUUUUUUGGAUAUUUAGUUGCAUCUAAUAAUUUUUUAGAAAAUAACGAUCAAAUUUGAAAACAUUUAUGAAUGUGAAAAAUAUCAUCAAAUUUGAAAACAUUUAUGAAAAAACAUGAAUAUGAAAACAUUUAUGAAUAUGAAAAAAUAUCAUCAAAUUUGUUAUUUGAAAAUAUAUUUUUUGGAUUUUUAGUUGCAUUCAUUUGUGAAUUAGUAAAACAUUUAUGAAUAUGAAAAAAUAUCAUCAAAUUUGAAAAAAUAUUCAUGAAUUCAAAAAUGCCCAUGAAAUUUAACAAUAUUCAUGAGUUCAAAAAAUAUUAACAAAUUCAAUACUUUUUGUGAGUUAGAAAUUCAAUACGAGAAUAAACAUAAAUAAAAAUUGGUAUACCGGAAUAAACAUAAAUAAAUAUUCAUGAGGACUAGAACAGAAGAAAUGUCAUUUCCAUAUGUCGAAAUACAAUCGAGAAAUGAAGAAUACAAUUUAAAUACAAUCGAUCUUAGCUAGCUAUCUUUUCACAAUCUUCUUGUCCUUUUUCGCAAAUGGAGUUCUUCUCUUGAACAGACGUCCUUUAGGUAGGAUGGUCCUGCUGCUUCUUGUGGUGUAUGGUACUUCAUCGUCGUCAUCAUGUUCCAUCUUCGGGUCGCCGUACUUGUCGAAGUCUUGCUCAUUGGCGACUCUAUCCAUUCCGAUGAUCUUCAUUUUGCCUCUCCUCACGACAACACGACUGGGCUUUGACAGGUCCGUAAUGAAGAAGUAUUGGUCCACUUGGGAAGCCAGUACCCAUGGCUCAUUUUUCGCAGUGAUAUUUGCGUCCGCGGUCUUGGAUUUGGCUUCGGGUAUAACCAUGGUGGUGAAAUACGGGUGUUCUUUUAGGACGCUCUUGGCCCAUCUGACACGGAACAUCGGGACCUUCUCUCCAGCGUAGCUCAGCUCAUAGAUCUCCUCGAUCCUUCUGUAGUAUAUGUCCUUGUCGUUACCGGUGUAGCAUUCCAUCGUUAUCCUAGAGUUCUGAUAAUCAUCGCUCUUCAUGUCCUUUUCCUCGGUGUAGAAUGUGUAGUCGUUGAUAUCAUACGUGUCAUAGGUCAUCAGGUUGUGCUCGGCGCCCUAUGAUAAUGCGAAUAUGAGUUUUCCUUCCGCGGAAGAAUCCUCAUGUAAAGGGUACGACAGAAGCUUCUCCUUGAACGAACGCGUGAAACAUGAGUUGUGCUCUUUGAUUAUAUUUCCGUCCGUCCUCUGUUGGCCUCGGUCAUUGUACGGCUUCUCAAUAAAGGUUUUGUGCUCUACCACCCAAGGAUAGACCACGUCUAUGUGCUGUAGCACGACUAGGUUUGCUCUUUCAAAGUCAGCGAGUCGACCCUUGAAGUCGACAUGCAUUUCGCGGCGACCCUCGUGGUGACCCCAUCCAGCGAGCCUGCUGAGGUGCCUGUUGACGGGCAGACCAACCGGAUUCUCGAUGCCUAGAUAAUUCGUGUAGUAGGAGAUGCACUCUUCGGUCAGAAAGCCCUUGGCUAUGCUUCCCUCUGGACGUGACAUGUUGCGAACGUAUCCUUUGAUGACACCAUUCAUCCUUUCGAACGGCAUCAUGCUGUGCAGGAACGUCGGCCCGAGUUGGAUGAUAUCCUCCACGAUAUGGACCAGCAGAUGCACCAUAACGUCAAAGAAUGCGGGCGGGAAGUACAUCUCAAGCUCGCAUAGUAUCACCACGAUCUCUUCCUAUAGCCUUCUGAGCUGCCUCACGCACACCGACUUCCGAGAGAUGACGUUGAAAAAGUUGCAUAUGCCAAAUAGCAUUUCACGGAUGUGCGCGUCCAUGAUCCCAUGGAUUGCAAUUGGAAGUAUCUGCAUCAUCAGCACGUGACAGUCGUGAGACUUCAUCCCGCUGAACUUCUGCUUCGCUGAGUCUAGGUAUCGGCUUAUCUUCUCCGGUAACCGUAAGGAAGUUUUACUCCUACGAGGCAGGUGAAAAACUAUUCGUUCUCCUCCUAACUUAGAGUGAAGCACGUGGAAGGGCAGUCAUUUCCAAUCUUCUUGGCCUUUUUGCCUUUGCGACGACUUUCUGUGUCCUUCGCCUCAUCAUCAUCAUCAGCAGCAUCAUUAUUAGCGUGAAGCUCCUCCCUGAUGCCCAUUGAUUUCAAGUCUGCCCUUGCUUUCGGCCCAUGUUUGGUCCUCUCUGGCAUGUUGAGCAGGGUACCAAGCAGACUCUCGCACACGUUCUUCGUGAUAUGCAUGACAUCAAGGCUGUGAGGCACACGGAGGAUCUUCCAGUAUGGCAAGUCCCACGUAUUGGCUGGCGUUUUCCAUAGCUUGUCUAGCUCCUCUUUCAGCAGCCCUAAAUACAGAUUGAUGUCGUUCCCUGGAUGUUUCGGCCCUUCAAUUAGCAUACUCAUGUGAAUGUACUUCCUCUUCAUGCACAACCAGGGGGGAAGGUUGAACAUCCACACAAACACAGGCCAGGUGCUAUGUGUGCUUCUCUGGCUGCCAAACGGAUUGACUCCAUCGGUGCUCACGCCCAGCAUGAUGUUCCUUGGAUCGUCCCCAAAUUCUAGGUGUUCGAAGUUCAACGCUUGCCACUGGCUCGCAUCCUUAGGGUGACUCAGCAUCUUGUCUUUUUUAUUUAUCUCCGGAUCAUUUCCGUCAUCUUCUCGCUUUUUCUCCUCCCUAUACGCGUGCCAACGCAGGAGCUUUGCUACCUUAGGGUCCAUGAAAUACCGCUGCAGACGAGGAGUGAUCGGAAAGUACCACACCACUUUUCGAGGAGCUUUAUUCCUCUUCUUGUAUCGAGUGAUGCCGCACGCCGGACAUAUGGUAGACUCCGCGUGCUCGUCCCGAUAAAUGAUGCAAUUGUUCAUGCACACAUGAUAUUUCACGUGCGGUGAAUUCAGAGGACACACGAUUUUCUUCGCCUCCACGAAACUGGUCGGGCACUUGUUCCCCUUGGGAAGACGUUCGUGCCAGAAUGACAUGUUCUCGUCGAAGCAUGCGUCGUUCAUUUUGUGUUUUACCUUCAUCUACAGAGCCAUGAGCGUUACUUUCAGGCGGGUAUCCUCGGGCCUGCAUCCUUCAUACAAUGGAGUAACCGCGUCUAUCUCCAGUUGAUCCAGCUUGGCUUUCUCUCGCGCGGCAGCUCUUGCGUUAUCCGUCUGCUUGAGAAGCAGCUCUUGAAUAUGAGGGUCCUGCACCCAGCCCAUCGAUGGUCCAUCGUCGUCUGCUCCGUCGGUAUCUUCAUCUUCAUGAUCAUGCCCUUCGUCUGCUCCGGCAUCUUCCUCAUCAUCAUGUCCUGCAUCUUCUACAUGAUGACUGUGUACAACAUCACCGUCGUGAUCAUGUCCUGGAGAUUCUUCGUCUUCUCGCCCGCCCGAGCAGCGGUGGUUGUCUUGCUGCCCUUCCUCAUUUCUUGCCCGGCCCCCAUGGACGACUUCAUAAUCAUCUUCAUGACCUUGCCACCGAUAGCCAUCCAUGAAACCACGCAAGAGUAGGUGGCCCCGCACCUGUACGGAAUCCGGUUCCAUAAGGCUCUUCAGCUUGCAUCUUCAACACAGACAUCUUAUCUCCGUCUCAUUCUUUUGAAUCAUCUCGGGCUUCGCGGAGAUCAAAAACCUAUUCAUGAUGCCUUCGGUCAUCGUGCGGACCAUGGUCGCCUGCGGGGUAGAGCAAAGCAAUAUUUUAGAACCAAAAAAAAUUGGCAUGACUUUGCCUGAAAAUAGGACCAAAAAGAAUGCGUAGUGCCAAAUUCUUGCCGAAACGGAAAUGAAUCAACAUUCCGGCAAAAUAUUGGCAACUCGCAUUUCAAAUACCGGAACCUGCAAACACAAACAUAUGCAACACCACAAACAUAUGCAACACCACAAACAUACGUAGAUCUAGGCCAUAAAAAGUGCAUGUGCACGUUGUUGGAGGGAGAAAAAAGUAGAUCUACAACAUAAGCUUUCCCCUUACUUACCUAUAAAAAAAGGGAAUUUAAUCACUUAAUUUGGGUGAAUCUAUGGUGCAAAUGAGGUGAGGAGGAGGAGGCAGCCGAGACAAGCUUGAAAGAGGAGGUGGAGAGAAUGAAGUAGGGAAAGUGAGUGUGGUAGGUGGCUGUCCAAAAUAUCUAGCUGUUCUCAGGUUACCAAUGACGCACCACCUAAUAAUGCGCCAUUAGUAACCAGUUACUAAUGGCGCACCUGUUAUAUGGUGCGCCAUUACUAGUUUUGAAAAAAAAGUUGUUCGUAGUGGCGCACCGUGGUUGUGGUGCGUCAUUACUAGUUUGAACUAGUAAUGGUGCAAUAUCUCCUGGUGCGCCAUUACUAGUUUUGAAAAAAGAAAGUAAAAAAAUUGUUAGUAGUGGCGCACAGAGUGAGUGGUGCGCCAUUACUAGUUAAAACUAGUAAUGGCGCACUAUCCCCUGAUGCGCCAUUACUAGUUUUAAAAAAAAAUUGUUAGUAGUGGCGCCAUUAGUGAUAUGAACACUAAUGACGUACCUAUACAUGGUGCGCCACUGCUAUAUAGCAGUCGCGCACCACAUUUGUGGUGCGCCAUUAAUGUUCAUAUUAGUUAUAGCCCUUUUUCUAGUAGUGCUACCUUCUUAUCUCACAUGUAAAAAGAGAAGGUAAGAGGGAGCAUGUUAAAAUUUGCCAUGUAUAUGCAAUGCGUUCUUAUUGACGGAUGGAUGCGGUUGUGUCAGUGGUCGUGGUCGUCACCGCGUUGGUCUUCAUAUCUCCUCCUCCUUAUACUACUACGUAAUACAUUAGAAUUAGCGUUAGGUAAACUUUAGGUAGGAGACUGAUAAUAGACAAGGAUGAUGGCCUUGUCACGUUUGUUAUGUUAAUAUACAGUCAGGCUCAUUCAUACAAGGCUUGCCCCAGCACUGAGUUACAAGAAAUCAGCUUAAGAUAUCUUGCAAUCACACCAUAAUCAUACACAUAUGUGAUUUUUAUGCAAAUCCUUUCUUUGACCUACUACGACCAGCAACUACCGGCCUGCACAAUUUUCUAUCAUUCCAAAACAAAACGAGCUAUUGUACAACAUGGAGAUAAGACAAUUACAAGGGGAAGAGAUCUAAGAAGACAAAGUACAUAACCAAGAAAUAAGAAUUAUUGCUUAUAGAAAACAAUUUUUUUUGAAAAGGAGGAAGACCCCCGGCCAAGCCUAACAUCCAAGACCUGAGGCCCCGACCAAGCCACUUGCCGGCUAUGGGGCACACACCGGUCCGGCGCACACACAGAGGCCGCCGCAGCCAACUGCCACCAAUCCAUCUUCAGAGCUGUACUGACGCAUCAACCUUGCCUGGUCUAGCUGCUGUCGACGCCACCACGACGCCAGACAACGCCACCAUCAUGGACUCGUCCAUCAACACAAGCCUAGCAGCGAGACCCCGCUGCUCCAUGCCACUGAGACCCGCCAUUGUCGACAUGUCAGAUGCAACGCUGCUCCUCCUUUACGAACACCACAUGCAGCCACUGGUGCCAUCCCUCCACUCCCAACCGAGCCCCAAUGCCCCUGACGACGCCACCAAGAAGGUCACGACGCGAACAGCGCCGCUACCGCCAAAUUCAAAGAGGAUUGGAGGUUUUCACUCGGCAUGAGAUCGGGGUGGGUAGAUUGGGCCCUCAGCUGCGCCUUCAUGAAGGAAAGCGAAACCCAUGGGUGCCGCCGCCGCCGGGCUGGCCUGACCGGCCAAGGUUUCCCCCGGACACAAGGUACACCACCAGGGCUCACCAUCACUGAAGCCUGUAGCCGCAAACCACCGGGACGCCGAGAGAGGCAACAGGGGAAAAGGGAACCUCCAGAUCUGACGCCACGACACCAACCCACCGGAGGAUCACGGGCCACCCGAUCCAAUCCCCAGCAGCCCACCUGCCCCGCUGCGCCCGGACACGGAGGCCAACCCAAGGGCUGCCACCCCAGAUCCAGGGCCCUCCGCUCGAAAUCAGGCAGAGCAGAGCCAGCCUGCCGCCACGACCAUCACUGGGUCACCGGCCGGCCGCCACGCUGUUGUGCUCCAGAUGGAGGUCGCCGUGGGCCAAAUCGGUGCCGCCGCCAUCGAUAGGGGACUCGUCCUCAAGAUUGGGGAUCCCGCGCAUCCCGAUCCCCAAGUGAGAGGGCGAUGCCUCCGCGUCGCCAUCACAUGCACGGGCUUAGCCCGGCGCCAACCACCGGCGGCGGCGGAGGGGAGAGCGAGAAGGAGGAGGGGCACCGGCGGCGGAGGGUUGGGUCCCCUUGGUCACCCGCGCGGUGGGCGAUGGAGGGGAAGGGGGAGGGGGAGGGGGAGAGCUUACAGAAAACAACUACAUGUCACUAAGGAACAGAACGAGAGAUCAGAUAGAAAAGUAGAGAAAUGAGUAAACGGCUUGUUGCGUAUGCUUGCCCAUAGCAGAAGGUCAUCUCCACAACUAGGAAUAAGAACAGGGUAGUCCUCUUUUUUUUGUUAAAUCUUCGGGUUAUGGUGCUUCCAAAUAUUCCAAAGAAAGCAGAUGCACAACAAAGAGGGGACCUAUUUGGUAGAAAAUCGAGGCCGAGGACAAGCAAUCACAAGCAUAAAAUCAAUAUUUGUUGACAAGGUUUUGCAAACUAGUCUACUCACCAAGCAGGGUUACGAGAGCUCCUCCCCAGGUACUAAAUUGAGAUGACAAAUUCCACUAAGGCAAUCGAACAACAUGUCUAGCCAAUCACCACUACCGGUCAGGCCAUCCCUGCCAUGUCCCCCGCGCCUUCCCUCGUGUGAUUCAUGUCUAGACUACCAGUUUCGUCUAGUCUAUUUUGGCAACCCGUGGUGCCUUUAUAUGUUAGACCUUGGUUACGCGUAUUUGAUUCAAACACCUUACAUUCCGCAAAGUACAAGUCUAAUAAUAGUACAACUCUAACACAUAUUCGACAAAAUUCAAACAAACUUAUGACUCGUGAAUAUGUCUUCGUCAUCUUCAAGCUCCCAAGCAUGGACCACAAUGUACUAAAUUUGGACUUGAACCAUCAGGCAUGAUAGAGCAUGAUGAACAAAACAUACAUGAUAAUCGGACCAUUAUAAGUACUAAACAAUCUAGACAUGCAAUCUGAUAGAUAAGAAAGCAUAGGAUGUCCAUGUUGAUUUGUACUACGAAUACACCAAUGGAAAAGCCUAAUUAAAAGAAGCGAUAAGAGUACUUACGAGAUGGGUGUAGCAUAAGCAACGUUAGAUGCAGCGGCGGUGUCCUUAGUAUUGUGGUUGGACGGAGCCAACUAGUAGUCCAUGAACUAGUUGAUGGAGCAUGAACAUUCGAGUAAUCAUGGGAGUAGUAGCAGUAUUGUGGUCCCCAAAAACCUAAUCACCUCUCUCUUUUACAUGAUUGCAAGAGACGGGGUUCCGGAGGCCUGCUCCCUCCCCCUUCACGGUGCACGUCGAGAAGCAGGAUAGAGAAACUUAGAAGCGGCACAGUUCACAUAGACUUCAGUCAAAUAUUAAAAUUCCUUAUUCAGAUGAAACAUCAAAGUUAAGAGCCAACAUCAAAACAAAAGGAGCUCCACAUGUUGGUUCUUUGUCCAAUGAACUAAUUUUUCAUCCAGCACUAAACAAGCUUGUGCCAUGACACCAUCCAUGCAUAGAGUGGAAUACUUCACUUGCUAACUCUUCGGACGGUCUUACCCCCCAGUUCGACACUUCUUUAUUUUCCUGUUUCCUCUGCAAAAUUGGCCAUGAUUUAAUUCAAAACCCCACCAUGUUGAUCUUAGUACAUCGACAAUCAAUUUUCUUAUCAUCAAAACAAGCACCACUUCUAAUUAUUCAAAUGGUCAAGAAAACAUAAGCAAUUCCAACCAUUACUAGAUGUUUGACUUGCCUUGAAAAUCAAGAAAUCCAUGAAGUAAACGUUUAUUCGACUGAAUGUCUGAUUCAGAUACUCUAAAUGUAGAAGGCACACUGCAUAACAUUCCAAACUAGUUUUGCAAGAGAACACUUAAGGAAAAAGAUCAACUAUUUUAUCUAAACCACAAAAUUGACAUCUAUUUUCUUAUUGUUAAUCCCUCUUCAGGAUCAACAAUUAAGGAAAAAGGUGAUAAAAAUUUAUUCCCCCUUCUCGCAGCUUUUUCGGAAGUCCUUUAGGUAAAUCUCUGCAAUUUAACAUGAACGUGAAGUAAAAAUUAUGCUAUGGUGAUCAAAUAAGCAUCAAAUUGGAGUACUUACCUUAUGAAAUCACGUAGUGUUGCCGUGUGUAUCCUAGUUUUGCAGAGGCCGGGUGUGCGCUCAUUGUCAUUGUACCAAUUGAUGUUACAUUAUGAGUCAAUACAAAACGUCCUUUGUCGAGAAAAUGAAAUCAUGAUGCAAAAUGCAUAUAUCAAUAAUUAAUCAUUAUUGUUUCCAUAGCAUCGACACCACAUAUAAUGCAUGCAUGUACUCCCUCCGUUCCUAAAUAUUUGUCUUUCUAGCUAUCUUAAAUGGACAACAUACGGAUGUAUGUAGACAUGUUUUAGAGUGUAGAUUCACUCAUUUUGUUUCGUAUGUAGUCACUUGUUGAAAUCUCUAGAAAGACAAUUAUUUGGGAACAGAGGGGGUAUAUGUUAGUACAAAUUGAUAAUCCAUCUUGUCCCUUGUUAACAGGCACCAACUGGACAAGUGGUCACAGGGCAUGCCAUGACCAGGCCACUAUAGUCGUGAGACAUAUAUUAGUCAGAUGUUAUUCUACACUUUCAAGGAAGAAUAAGAGUCCGACGUUAGCACGCGCAAGCAUGCUAAGUGUGUGUGUAAGUUAAGUAUGUGAAACAUGCAUGAACUUGCGCCGAUUAUACUGUUAGCCGUUUUAGGUUUUGGAUUCAUCGGAGUCUUGCCACCGCUCUACCUUAGCUAGGGCAUCUUCUAGUCACUGAACCGCCGUCACACACGCCACUGUGAUAACAAAUGCAGACCUUGAUACCGAAUGCCAAAUUCCUGCUCGAAAGAAACUGGAUGAACCCACAGUACAUGUAUGUCACUAUUUCCUUUUAUUCAGUCGCCCAACAACAACCUGCACAUGGCUAGACAACAUAACCGGAGAAAAACUUUACUUGGCCGCAAUGUGGACUAGCACGCUUCUGGCCUACAAGCAAAGUACCUACGGAUUCCGUUGAGCCGAGUUUACAAAUUAACAUAUUGCAAUAUAAACUAGAGUACUUGACGCAAACACACCGCUUAACUUCGUCCUGGUCGGACGAUGUCGGAGAUCAGGUGGUCUCACCCCUUUGGAGGCUUACUCUCACUUUUUAUUCUUAGGCGGCAGCUUCCUGUUCUUCUUCUAAGUCAGCAUCGGGUUAUUCCUGGACUGCACCUGGUUCUUCUUGAACGACGGUGGUUUUGUCAACUGGGUACUGAUUGACGGUGCCUUGGUCUUGUUAGGGGCAUCCUUUGCAGGUUCCUUCCCCUUGCCCAUGACGCAAUCUCCUUCUCUUCUUCUUGACCACGUGCCGGCGUAACUCAAGUGUUUGGACCCACGUGUCAUACAUAGUUCAUUUUGUCCAUGUUAUAUUUAGAGUGGAACCAUGUAUCAGUACAAGACAUGUGUCACCGUUUCGACUAAUCCGUGUCGUUGUAGAUUUCUUUCAUUUCAAUCUAAUUCAUGCAUGACUUUUAACAUAUCUUCAAAGAAUACGAGCUGCUGUAUUCCUGUUGCUUUUAUUACUUUAAAAAUAUAAUCAAUAGAAGUUCCUGGUUAGUUCAUUUAGAUUCAGUGGCACACAUACAUGGUUUCGACAGUAAAGCUAGUAGCUUAUACAAUAUUCCGCGGCCGGUGUCCAUCAGAGGUAUAGAUACCACUAACGGGACACAUUACAACACCGCCCAAUGGCCUUCUCUCUUGUAGUGAUGGACUCUUUUGUCAUUCGUUCUGUUGUAACCAUGAGUGGGACAAGAUACUCGAUUUGCCUAUCUUAGGAUUUGUUGAAUGCAAGGUGGUUAAGGGAGGUUCUUAAAGAAAUAAACCAACUUUUUCUUUGUGCAUCAAUUCUUGUUCAUAGAGGGCAGAUGCUUAAUUAGGCAUCCCUUCUAUAGAGAUAACCGAUGGUGCUUAAACAAGAAACUUAAAGGUUUUUCCUUUAGAAUCAGCGGACGUUCAUAUACAUGAAUUUACACUCCCCUAUGAAUUCACACACGCACACUCUAUCCCUUAUGAGCACCUCUGAGAAAUUGAACCAACAGGUUGCGAGAUUGACGAAGUCAUGACCUGUGCAUCGCUGUCGAUGGGUCGUCGCUUACAGCGAAAGAAUAAGUCGUUAAACCCAGAAAUAUAUCGGGAAAACUGCAAACACCCUUCUCAAGUCAAGGACUUGAACCAGGUUGGAUAGCUUCCACCACAAGGAACCUAACAAACUGUGCUACGCUCAAUUCACCGAAGAGAUAAUGGUUGCGGUUUAUUAACCCUAUAUGUAUGUCUUUUUCGGCUCUUUCUUCUUAUUCAACUUCCCAACAAUAACCUCCCACAUGACUCAUAACACAACACAAGGAAAAAAAGGACUUCAUUUGGCCGCAACGUGAACCAGCACGCUUCUGGCCUAUAGACAGACUGGCUACGGAUUCUACAGCAGUGAUCGGAUCGAAUCAAAUUUACAAAUUAACUUACUGUAACGCAAACGGAGCUACUCAACAUAAACACACAUAACUUCAUCCUGGCCAGUGGACGUCGAUCACUGCGCGGCUGUUGUCACCUCUUUCGAGGCUAAUUCUUCUUAGACGGCGUCGUCUGUUUCAUCUGCUUCUUCUGAGGCAGGAGCGACUUCCUCCUAUGGGCUGUCUUCGUCAAUUGCGUAUUGCUUGACGAUGCCUUCACCUUCUUUGGGGGAACCUUUGCAGCUUGCUCGCCCAUGACAAGAUUUGCUUCUUUUCUAAUAAUUCUUCUUCUCCAGUGGUAGCUGAGGUGAGGUGGAUAUAGUGUUUACUUUGCUCUGGUUGGGUUGAGGAAGCCUGCAGCAAUGGCUCCAUAUAUAUAGGAGGGGGAAGGUCUUUGAGAAAGCGCUUCGGCCAGACAACACGCUUCCACCGUGUGUGAGAAUUAUUUGGUGGCAUUAAUGUUUC
rnacentral:lncRNA from 1 species